rnacentral:rRNA from 1 species
AUGAAAUACAUAUCUGACCUACAAAGGCUCCGACAAGAAUAUCAAGUCGCCACUACACUCACUUACAAAGGGUAUUCCAUCGCACUUCCUAAGAUCGCAAGGACCCUUGUACACAUUGAUGUGUCCAACAAUGCAUUCCAUGGUAGCAUCCCCCAAGCUAUUGGGGAACUUGUUUUGCUCAACAUUCUCAACAUGUCACACAACUACUUGACUGAAGGAAUUCCACCCCAACUUGGUCGUUUGAAGAAAGUAGAGUCUUUGGAUUUAUUCUCGAACGAGCUUACGGGAGUGAUUCCACAAGAGCUAGCAUCUUUGGACUUCCUUGGGACACUAAACUUCUCCAACAAUAAGCUGGAGGGAAGAAUACCAGGAUCACCUCAUUUUCAGUCAUUUUCCAACAACUCGUUUCUGAGGAACGAUGGGUUAUGUGGACCUCCAUUAUCCAAAAAAUGCAGCAAUGAGACAACACCAUAUACCACGGUUGAUCGUUCGAAGGAAAACCCUGCGGACAUUGUGUUAUUUCUCUUUUCUGGAUUGGGAUUUGGUGUUGGGUUUGCAGUUGUAAUCAUAGGGACAUGGGUUCUUCCAAUUAGUAAGAGAAGUUGA